UACGGGGGGAGCAAGCGUUGUUCGGAUUUACUGGGCGUAAAGGGCGCGUAGGCGGCGCUCCAAGUUAGGCGUGAAAGUCCUGGGCUCAACCUGGGAACUGCGCUUAAGACUGGAGUGCUUGAGGAUGGAAGAGGGUCGUGGAAUUCCCAGUGUAGCGGUGAAAUGCGUAGAUAUUGGGAGGAACACCAGUGGCGAAGGCGGCUCACUGGACCGGUACUGACGCUGAUGCGCGAAAGCGUGGGGAGCAAACGGG
rnacentral:rRNA from 1 species